rnacentral:rRNA from 1 species
AGCAGCCGCGGUAAUUCCAGCUCCAAUAGCGUAUAUUAAAGUUGUUGCAGUUAAAAAGCUCGUAGUUGAAUUUCGGGAUUAGUACGUCGGUCGUGCCUUCGGUACGUACUGGUGUUACUGGUUCCUACCUUCUGACGAACCAUCAUGUCGUUAAUUUGGUGUGGCGGGGAAUCAGGACUGUUACUUUGAAAAAAUUAGAGUGUUUAAAGCAGGCUCGCGCUUGAAUACAUUAGCAUGGAAUAAUGAAAUAGGACGUUGACCCUAUUUUGUUGGUUUCUAGGAUUGACGUAAUGAUUAAUAGGGAUAGUUGGGGGCAUUAGUAUUCAAUUGUCAGAGGUGAAAUUCUUGGAUUUAUUGAAGACUAACUACUGCGAAAGCACUUGCCAAGGAUGUUUUCUAUUAAUCAAGAACGAAAGUUAGGGGAUCGAAGACGAUCAGAUACCGUCGUAGUCUUAACCAUAAACUAUGCCGACUAGGGAUCGGAUGAUGUUAUUUUUAAUGUACUCAUUCGGCGCCUUAC